rnacentral:rRNA from 1 species
UACAGGGGGCGCGAGCGUUGCUCGGAAUCACUGGGCGUAAAGCGUACGCAGGCGGACCGAUGAGUCGGGUGUGAAAUCCCGGGGCUCAACCCUGGAAAGCCGGUGGAUACUGUCGGGCUCGAGUCCGGAAGAGGCGAGUGGAAUUCCCGGUGUAGCGGUGAAAUGCGCAGAUAUCGGGAAGAACACCCGUGGCGAAGGCGGUUCUCUGGGACGGUACUGACGCUGAGACGCGAAAGCGUGGGGAGCGAACAGG